UCUCCUUCUGCCUGUGUCUCUGCCUCUCUCUCUCCUUGUGUCUCUCAUGAAUAAAUAAAUAAAAUCUUAAAAAAAUGCAAAUGUUAAUCCAACUGAAUAUAGCAAUAUAUAAAGAAGAAAAUGUUCUAUGAUGAAGUUGGGUUUAUUCCAUGAAUGAAAAGUUUAAUAUUAGAAUAACCAAUCAGUUGCCACAUUGACAAAUUAAAAGUAGAACAAUGAUUUGAACAUCUCAAUAGAUGCAGUAAAGGCAUUUGAUAAAACUCUACAUCCACUCAAGGAGUUUUUUUUUUUUUUUAAAGCUCUUAGCAAACUAAGAAUAAAGGGACAUCCUUUAUUUGAUAAAGGGUAUCUAUUAGAAACCUAAAAUAAACAUAAUAAAUGGUGAAACUUGGAAAGCUUUCCCUUCAAGAUUAGGAGCAAGAGAAGGAUGCUUUCUAUUACCUUUCUAGUCAACAUUGUUUUUCACAUCCUAGAUAGCCCUACAAGGCAUGAAAAGGAAAUUAAAGGAAGAAGUUUAUAAUGGAAGAAACAAAAUUGUAUGUAUGUACAGGUGAUAUGAUUGUACAUGUAGAGAAUUAAAAAAAAUCUAUAAUUGAAAUUAUUGAUAAAUGAAUUAUUUAAGGUGGUUGGGUACAAAGUCAAUAUUUAAAAAGUUAAAAAUUGAAUGACCCUAUGAUCCUGCAAUCACACUACAGGGAUUUACCCAAAGAAUACAAUACAUGCACCCUAAUGUUUAUUGCAAUAUUAUUUACAAUAGCCAAGAUAUGGAAACAGCCCAAUUGAUGAAUGGAUAAAGACGUGGUAUAUAUAGUCAAUGGAAUAUUGCUCAGCCAUCAAAAAGAAUGAAGCCUUGCUAUUUCCAAUGACAUGGGAUGGAUCUAGAGAGUAUAAUGCUAAGCAACAUAAGCCAAUUAGAGAAAGACAAAUACCAUAUGAUUUCAUGCAUAUGUGGAAUUUAAGAAACAAAUGAGCAAAGGAAAAGAAAGAGAGACAGAUCAAGAAACAGACAAUUAUAGAGAACAAACUGAAAGUUACCAGAGGGGAGGUGGGUAGGGUGAUGGGUGAAACAGGUGAUGGGGAUUAAGGAGUACACUUGUGAUAAGCACCAAGUGAUGCAUGGGAUUUCUAAAUCACUAUAUUGUACACCUGAAACUAAUAUAACACUGUAUGCUAACUAACUGGAAUUAAAACAAAAACUUAAAAAGCCAAAAACUAAAGGCCAAGUCAAUAUACAAAAGUCUCUAAUAUUAUUACAAUCUUGCAACAAAUAGAAAACAAAAUUUUGAAAAGAUACCAUUUACAAUAGUAUCAACAUAUAUAAAACCUAGAAAUAAAUCUGACAAAUAAUAAGGCCUCUACAUAGAAAAUUUAAAAAAUAUUAUUGAGAAAAAUUAAAUAAGACUUCGAUAAAUGCAGAUCUGCUCAUGGAUUGAAGAUCUCAAUAGUGUAAAGAUUGGAAUUCUGUCUGUGACAGAUAUGCCCCCAGUGGUUCCCACAUCUUGCCAUUCAUGGUCUUGUUUCUUCCUCUCCCAUGUUGUGCCAGGGCUGGUCUGUGUGACCGCUAGUAUAUGGCAAAGAGAUGGCAUAUCACUUCUGAGAUUAAGAGGAAAAGACUGUGGUUUCUGUCUUGUGCACAUUCUUCCUCGUUUGCUGUCUCAUUUUCUCUCAGAUCACUUGUUCUAGGGGAAGCAAGCUAUCGUGUAGAAAGCUGCUUUAGGGAGAAGUAUAUAUAAUGAGGACCUGAAGCUUUCAGCCAACAGCCAGCAAAGAACAAAGACCUUUCCAAAAACCACACGAAAGAGUUUGGAAGCAGGUUAUCCAGCCCCAAUCAAGCCUUUGACUGGGAGUCCUGCAGACAACUAACUGCAUCCUCAUGAAAGAGCCUGUGCCCAAACUACCCAGCUAAGCUGCUGCUCUUGGAUCCUUUUAUUUAUAACUGACACUCCAAUUGGACAAAGACUACAUACAAGUAAGGAAAACUGGUCCAUUUCCACUCAUGAGCACAGAGGCAGCUCUGCUACACAGCCUACUACCCAACUGAAGUCAAUUCUGUUUGUAAAAAGGUGAAAACCAUGGACAUCAGGAAGGCACUUGUGCAGUGAAGUUCACAGCAGCAUUUUUAAUGGCAGCCAAACGCUGAAACCACACAGAGGUCCGGCUGCAGUAGAGUGGAUAUCCAAAUGGUAGUAUAGUCGUAUGAUGGAAUAUUCUGCAGCGAUGGGGGAUGAAUGAACCUCCACUGCGUGUAUCAACAGGAUGACCAUCAUAACACAUGAUGUUGAGAAAAAUUAAAGAAUGCAUAUAAUUGUAUAAUUCAUGAUGAAGAAUAUAAAGACAAAAUAAAGGACAUGGAGACUCUCUGAAGAACAAAAUGGACUUUGGGUUCUGAAGGGGAAGGAAGAGCUCUAGUGAGCCCUGGGAAGAAGCAGGGGCCUGCCUGGGAUAAUUAAAUGGGAGCUGAUAUGCAAGAAUGCUCAGCACUGCACCUGCACAGCGGAGAUGUUGGAGAAUGGUAUCAAGGUGAUGACCUGGACAAAACAACGAGACUCAGCCACUGAGGGCAGGGGUGUCUGAAGCUUCCAUUCCUGGGUCUUGCUGUCAGGAUGGCAACAGCCCAGGGGUCAUAUCCCUUUCUGCUCCCUCCUACUGGCGGGGUCACCUUUGACACAGGGCAUCCAGGGAAUGGCCAUCUUGUGACCAGGAAAGGACAAGAAUGAGGUCCAAGGCUCCAGUGUGAAGGGUGAAAAAGUACAAGAUAUAAAGAGCAAUGGGUCAUACCCGGAUUCUCAGCAAGAUGACACAUGUGCCUGUUGGGAUUUGAACUUAAUUUGCU